rnacentral:rRNA from 1 species
UAGUGGCGCACGGGUGCGUAACGCGUGGGAAUCUGCCCUUAGGUACGGAAUAACUCAGCGAAAGUUGUGCUAAUACCGUAUGAUGUCUUCGGACCAAAGAUUUAUCGCCUAGGGAUGAGCCCGCGUUGGAUUAGCUAGUUGGUGAGGUAAAGGCUCACCAAGGCGACGAUCCAUAGCUGGUCUGAGAGGAUGAUCAGCCACACUGGGACUGAGACACGGCCCAGACUCC